AUACAUCGGAACAUGUCCUGUAGUGGGGGAUAGCCCGGCGAAAGCCGGAUUAAUACCGCAUACGAUCUGAGGAUGAAAGCGGGGGACCUUCGGGCCUCGCGCUAUAGGGUUGGCCGAUGGCUGAUUAGCUAGUUGGUGGGGUAAAGGCCUACCAAGGCGACGAUCAGUAGCUGGUCUGAGAGGACGACCAGCCACACUGGGACUGAGACACGGCCCAGACUCCUACGGGAGGCAGCAGUGGGGAAUUUUGGACAAUGGGCGAAAGCCUGAUCCAGCAAUGCCGCGUGUGUGAAGAAGGCCUUCGGGUUGUAAAGCACUUUUGUCCGGAAAGAAAUCCUUGGUUCUAAUAUAGCCGGGGGAUGACGGUACCGGAAGAAUAAGCACCGGCUAACUACGUGCCAGCAGCCGCGGUAAUACGUAGGGUGCAAGCGUUAAUCGGAAUUACUGGGCGUAAAGCGUGCGCAGGCGGUUUGCUAAGACCGAUGUGAAAUCCCCGGGCUCAACCUGGGAACUGCAUUGGUGACUGGCANGCUAGAGUAUGGCAGANGGGGGUAGAAUUCCACGUGUAGCAGUGAAAUGCGUANAGAUGUGGAGGAAUACCGAUGGNGAA
rnacentral:rRNA from 1 species